rnacentral:sRNA from 12 species
GACCUAACCCGUCAGCUUCGGCUGUCGGUAUGGUUGUAAAUACCCGCUAGAGAUUAAAGGACUCCCAGUCAGAGUCACUCUAGCGGGUCAUAUCUGGAAACGGGUAUGGGUCUGACCGAAAGGUUGGAUC